rnacentral:rRNA from 1 species
UGGGGAAUAUUGCACAAUGGGCGAAAGCCUGAUGCAGCGACGCCGCGUGCGGGAUGAAGGCCUUCGGGUUGUGAACCGCUUUUGAUUGGGAGCAAGCGAGAGUGAGUGUACCUUUCGAAUAAGCACCGGCUAACUACGUGCCAGCAGCCGCGGUAAUACGUAGGGUGCAAGCGUUAUCCGGAAUUAUUGGGCGUAAAGAGCUCGUAGGCGGUUUGUCGCGUCUGGUGUGAAAGUCCAUCGCUUAACGGUGGAUCUGCGCCGGGUACGGGCAGGCUAGAGUGCGACAGGGGAGACUGGAAUUCCCGGUGUAACGGUGGAAUGUGUAGAUAUCGGGAAGAACACCAAUGGCGAAGGCAGGUCUCUGGGUCGUCACUGACGCUGAGGAGCGAAAGCGUGGGGAGCGAACAGGAUUAGAUACCCUGGUAGUCCAC